AGAAUGGUUAGGCAUAUCUUCUAGCUUAAUAAUUCCAUCUUGUAUUGUUUGUUCUUCAACUUAUUCUUUGUGUGGAAAUUUUAAAUUAUUUCAAUAAUCAUGCUUUUAAUUUCUGAGAACUCUAAUUACAUCCUUCCUUGUGCUAAUUAUUGCUCAUUUUCUAUCAUUUCAUCCUUGUCUUCUUUCAACAGAAUAUUGGACGGCAAUUUGCUCCGUUAAAAAUAUAUACUUAUUUUUCAGCGUUUUUCGUAGCUAUGGCCAGUUGUGUUUUGGUAAAUAUUUAACAACUGGUUCUCAUUUUUUUUUUCUUGACUGGAAUGUGAGUAUGAAACUGGAGUUAGGGACUGGGCGCGGUGACUCACGCCUGUAAUCCCAGCUCUUCGGGAGGCCGAGGAGGGUGGAUCCCUUGAGGUAAGGAAUUAGAGACCAGCCUGGCCAACAUGGUGAAAUCCUGUCUCUACUAAAAAUACAAAAAUUAGCUGGGUGUGGUGGUGUGAGCCUGUAGUCCCAGCUAUUUGGGGGGCUGAGGUAGGAGAAUAACUUGAACCCAGGAAGUGGAGGGUGUGGUGAGCCAAGAUUGCACCACUGCACUCCGGCCUGGCAACACAACAAGACUUCAUCUCAAAAAAAAUAAAAAAAGAAAAGAAGAAAGACAGGAAGGAAGGAAGGAAGGAAGGAAGGAAGGAAACGAUUUAGGUCAGCAAUCCUGUGAUGAGGGUUGCCAUUACUGAGGAGAGUAGUGCAGAAGGAUAAAACUAAUAGGAAAUAUUUGAAACAUUGUAGAGUGCUAUGACAUUUAACUCUAAACUUCUUGUUGUGCUACUUCCUUUUAACAACCAAACCAAUUCUCAAACUACUAGCAGUCUUCAAUUUACACUGUAGUGAGGCUAUAAAAAUAAUCAUUAAAUUUGAAACUAUUUAAAGUAAUCUUAGUAAUCAAGGGGGAAAACUAUAAUUAUUCCUUGUUAUAAGCAGGUUCACUGUGCAGUGAUUACCAACAUGCUUGAGGCCAGUGAGACAGAACACACCCAUAUGCAAUGCAUUACGUGAAGAGGAUUUACUACUUGCAGGUAGGCAGCAAGGGACUAAAGAAGCCAAUGAUUCGUUGUGAACCAGUCCUCCAGGGUCAAGAAAACUACCCAGGGUAGCAUUGUUUCAGCUGCACAAGCCUUACUUGCACUGCAGCUGAGGGACCCUGAAAAACAGUCCAUCCUGGGUUAUAUACCUCGGAGUCCACAUGACUCACUGUGAAAAGCUUUGAAGGACAUCCUUCUUCCAAGAGAGAGAUGAAUAAAGCCCGGGCUGUCCUGGGCAGGUCCUGUCUAACUCAUGAUAUUACAUAUCCUUGAAGGGACAGGAACAAGGUUUAUGCUGUUUUAGACAGUUUCUCCCUAUCUCAGGAUAUUGCACCCACAGAACAUUUUAUAUUUAAUCUCUGGAACUACAAACAAGAAAGGGGGAAGAACUAGUUUGGUCCAAGGCCAUCUGGAGAGCCAUCCUGCACCAUGAUCUCUAGAAAUUUUUGUCAAAAUAUUAAAAAUUUCCUUAAUGUCAGUUACAAAUAUAUAGAAAAAUUAAAAAAGAACAUAUAUAUAUUUAACACAUUUUAAUUUAAAACAUUAAAACAUUGAGAAUUAAAGUGUUUCAUUUCUUUGUAAAAAACUUAAGAGAGUAGUUUGAGCAGUGUUCAUCUUCUUGUCAUGUAAGUUAAGAUAGAGUGAGCAUCUUUUCUAUGUCUUUGUGAAUUGUUAUAUUUUUUAUUUUUAAUUAAUUAUUGUUCUAAUUGACAAUUAAGAGUUGUAUAUAUUUACAGAGUACAAAAAUGUUUUGAUAUAUAUGUACAUUGUAGAGUGGCUUAAUCAAGCUAAGUGACAUAUGCAUUACCUAAUUUUUUUUGUGGCAAGAACAUUUAAAAUCUACUCUUGGCAAUUUUCAAGUAUAAAAUACAUUGUUAUUAACUACAGUCACCAUGUUGUACAGUAGCUCCUCUGCACCACUCCUUCUGUCUAACUGAAAUAUUGUAUCCUUUGACGCAUGUUUCCUCAUUCCCUCCACCUCCCCCAAUCACUGGAAACCACUUUUCUAUUCCCAGUUUCUGUGAGUUCAACUUUUUUAGAUUCCAUGUUUACGUUACACAAUUUGGUAUUUGUCUUCCUGUGCCUGGCUUAUUUCACUUUAUAUAGUGUUCUCCAGGUUCAUCUACAUUGUCACAAGUGAAAAUAUUUCUUUAUUUUUUAAGGCUGAAUAAUAUAUAGAAUUAAAUACUAUUCAGCCUUAAAAACUAAAAAAAGAAAAGUUUAAAAUCUCUCUCUCUCUCUCUCUCUCUCUCUCACACACACACACACACACACACACACAUUUUCUUCAACCAUUGAUGGACACAUAGGUUGACUCUAUAUCAGCUAUCAAGAGUAAUGCUGCAAUGAACAUGGAAGUACAGACAUUGUUUCAACAUAUUGAUUCAUUUCCUAUAUAUACCCAGUAGUGAGAUUGCUGGAGCAUAUGAUAGUUCUAUUUUAGGUUUUUUGAGGAACAUCCAUGUUAUUUUCCAUUGUAUCUGUAUUGAUUUACAUCCCCACCAACAGUGUACAACAGUUCCCCUUUCUCCAUAUUCUCACCAGCACUUAUCUCUUGUCUUUUUGAUAAUAGCUAUUCAACAGGGUGAGGUAAUAUCUCAUUGUGGUUUUAAUUAGCAUUUCCCUGAAAAUUAGUGAUGUUGAGCAUCACACUCAGCUUCUAUGAGUUCAUCUUUUUUUAGAUUCCACACUUAAGUUAGAUAAUUUGAUAUUUGUCUUUAUGUGCUUGGCUUAUUUGUGUUUUUCUUCUUGUAUUUUUGAUCCUGCAUUGUUAGAUUGCUGUACUCCUAUCUAAGUUUGAAUCAGCUUCCAAUAUUUUAUUCUCUACACUUCAAUGUUUUGGAAUAUUCCUGAGAAUUCCUUUAAUAUGAUGUUUCUUGCUGGGACAUCUUUAUCUUUUUCAUCACAACAUUUCCUUCCUUAAUGCAAUAAAUUUUAUGUUCUUUUUUGAUUUAUAAAAUUAUGUUUAAGUUUAGUUAAUUGAUAAUGUAAUUUUCCUCCGUAACCUUAAUUAUCAUUCUUCUACCAGGAUUAAUGAUCCUAAUUAUAAUAAGAAUUUGGGUGGAGACUUGUACUCUGGUGGGUCUUUCCUUUCAAACACUAUGGGAACACCUAAAUGUGAGGGCUUCUUAUUUGUCACAACAUCUGAAGUUAGCCAAAGAACUCCCAUCCCUCUAGUUGCAAAGUCUACUAUUUAACCCUAUCAAGAAAUAUGCUCCACAUUAUUUCAAGAGUUGAUUUUAUGAUGUUCCCUGGACACAAACAUCACAACAAUGCACGUGGAUUACUCAACUUAUCAGGUAUGAAUGACAUUGCUGACUACUUCUUUUCUUAUUCUCAUUCUAUUUUGCAGGGACCUUGGGUCCCAGUUUCCUAAGGUAAUUGCAUUUUAUUUAGAAUUUCUCCCAUUUUCCUGAUGAAACUGCAUGUUGUUUGGUACUCUAAGGUUCUCUUAGUAAUCUGAUGCAAUUUUAUUUAUAUUUUCAGAUGAUUCCUCAGUGUUGCUCAGUGGAUUUUUCCUUCUUAUGAUUGUUUUUCUAUUCAUAUUUUUUCUGUUUGUAAUCACUUUUUGGUAGAGAAGAGGAACAUGUUUUGCCUAUAUUGAACUGGAACCAGAUGAACUUUAAAAUUAGGUCUAUUUGAUGAAUUUCAUAUUGGCAAAUAAUUUGAUUAAAUUUCCAUCCUGAACUUUUCGAAGAAGAAGCUCUGCUUUAUGAAACUGGCUUCAUGCACAUUCCUUCUUCAUGGAAUUUUAGGGUCUUCAGAAAAAUUGUUGCUGUUUCCCUCAUUCCUCCAGGAUUUGUCCAUAUUGUUGGAGAGAACAGUGUUCACUUUGGUGAACUAAGUUAUUUGUGAGAUAUCCCAAAGAGCUUUUUGGGAAAAUGCCUUUCCGUUUAAUCUCUCUGAAAAUUGGAGCCCCGUUCUUUCUAGUUCUGGAAGCUGGGAAAUCCAAGGUCAAGGCGUCAGUGGGUUUGGUGUCUGGUGAGGACCUGGUCUCUGCUUCCAAGAUGGCAAGUUGUUGCUGCAUAUUCCAUAGGGGACAACCACUGGGUGCUCAUGUGACAGAACACAGAAAGGCAAAAAGGCCUGGCUAAUUCCCUCUUGCCCUUUUAUGAGGUUAGCUAUCCAAUUAAUGAAGGCAGGGCCCUCAUGGCCUAUUUACCUCCUAAUGGCCCUACCUCUUAAUACUGUUGCACUGGGGAAUAAGCUUCAACACGUAUUUGGGGGAGUACACAAACAUUCAAACCACAGCAUUAUGUUAAGUGUUCUUUCCACACCCCCACACACAAAAAAUUCACAAACACCAUACAAACAGAAGAAACAAAAAGGCACAAGAAAACUAUGGAAGGUAUGAGAUAUGUCUUUUACCUUGAGUGUGAUGAUGGUAUCAUAGGUGUUCGCAUAUGUCCAAACUCAUCAAAUUGUACACUUUAAAUAUGCUGAUUUCUUAGUAUAACAAUUAUACCUCA
rnacentral:lncRNA from 1 species